rnacentral:rRNA from 1 species
CGCUAGCUACAGGCUUAACACAUGCAAGUCCAUGGGCAGCAUGGUCUUAGCUUGCUAAGGCCGAUGGCGACCGGCGCACGGGUGAGUAACACGUAUCCAACCUGCCGUCUACUCUUGGACAGCCUUCUGAAAGGAAGAUUAAUACAAGAUGGCAUCAUGAGUCCGCAUGUUCACAUGAUUAAAGGUAUUCCGGUAGACGAUGGGGAUGCGUUCCAUUAGAUAGUAGGCGGGGUAACGGCCCACCUAGUCUUCGAUGGAUAGGGGUUCUGAGAGGAAGGUCCCCCACAUUGGAACUGAGACACGGUCCAAACUCCUACGGGAGGCAGCAGUGAGGAAUAUUGGUCAAUGGGCGAGAGCCUGAACCAGCCAAGUAGCGUGAAGGAUGACUGCCCUAUGGGUUGUAAACUUCUUUUAUAAAGGAAUAAAGUCGGGUAUGCAUACCCGUUUGCAUGUACUUUAUGAAUAAGGAUCGGCUAACUCCGUGCCAGCAGCCGCGGUAAUACGGAGGAUCCGAGCGUUAUCCGGAUUUAUUGGGUUUAAAGGGAGCGUAGAUGGAUGUUUAAGUCAGUUGUGAAAGUUUGCGGCUCAACCGUAAAAUUGCAGUUGAUACUGGAUAUCUUGAGUGCAGUUGAGGCAGGCGGAAUUCGUGGUGUAGCGGUGAAAUGCUUAGAUAUCACGAAGAACUCCGAUUGCGAAGGCAGCCUGCUAAGCUGCAACUGACAUUGAGGCUCGAAAGUGUGGGUAUCAAACAGGAUUAGAUACCCUGGUAGUCCACACGGUAAACGACGAAUACUCGCUGUUUGCGAUAUACAGCAAGCGGCCAAGCGAAAGCGUUAAGUAUUCCACCUGGGGAGUACGCCGGCAACGGUGAAACUCAAAGGAAUUGACGGGGGCCCGCACAAGCGGAGGAACAUGUGGUUUAAUUCGAUGAUACGCGAGGAACCUUACCCGGGCUUAAAUUGCAGAUGAAUUACGGUGAAAGCCGUAAGCCGCAAGGCAUCUGUGAAGGUGCUGCAUGGUUGUCGUCAGCUCGUGCCGUGAGGUGUCGGCUUAAGUGCCAUAACGAGCGCAACCCUUGUUGUCAGUUACUAACAGGUUCCGCUGAGGACUCUGACAAGACUGCCAUCGUAAGAUGUGAGGAAGGUGGGGAUGACGUCAAAUCAGCACGGCCCUUACGUCCGGGGCUACACACGUGUUACAAUGGGGGGUACAGAGGGCCGCUACCACGCGAGUGGAUGCCAAUCCCAAAAACCUCUCUCAGUUCGGACUGGAGUCUGCAACCCGACUCCACGAAGCUGGAUUCGCUAGUAAUCGCGCAUCAGCCACGGCGCGGUGAAUACGUUCCCGGGCCUUGUACACACCGCCCGUCAAGCCAUGGGAGCCGGGGGUACCUGAAGUGCGUAACCGCGAGGAGCGCCCUAGGGUAAAACUGGUGACUGG